rnacentral:lncRNA from 1 species
GGAAAGUGUUGCAAAUUACAGAUUGACCCUCAGCCUAAUUUUUCGAUUCAACCUAAGGCUAAGGGGCUACUCCAUAUGGAGUGGAACUUUUGUCGCACUACCAUAUAAAAUUCAAGAUUGAAGGAUGUGAGACUGAGUUAAAUGAGGCUUGAGCACAUUCUAACCGCAUGGCAGAUUUUGGGUACCUAUGAAGAUUCAACCAGAUCAAGUACUUGAAGAGCACCAAAAC